AGUUUGUGUGGGGGGGCUCGGGCAGUUUCUGGAUCCUUCCUCCAGGAUUUUCAGCGCGGGGAGCUCUCCUUUCUGCAGUGUGGAGGAGCACUGGGCAGGAGCGGCGCUGAGAAAUCUUACACCUUUCUAUGAAAGCCACACGUGCACAGUGUCCACAGAGCUCCUGGUCAUAUUGGAAAAAUUCCUGAAGACGGCUGCCUGGAGUUGAGCCAUAGGAGUUCUUCCUAUGGCCAUAAAGGGGAAUCCUUAUU